AGUGAACGCUGGCGGUAGGCCUAACACAUGCAAGUCGAACGGCAGCACAGGAGAGCUUGCUCUCUGGGUGGCGAGUGGCGGACGGGUGAGGAAUACAUCGGAAUCUACCUUUUCGUGGGGGAUAACGUAGGGAAACUUACGCUAAUACCGCAUACGACCUUCGGGUGAAAGCAGGGGACCUUCGGGCCUUGCGCGGAUAGAUGAGCCGAUGUCGGAUUAGCUAGUUGGCGGGGUAAAGGCCCACCAAGGCGACGAUCCGUAGCUGGUCUGAGAGGAUGAUCAGCCACACUGGAACUGAGACACGGUCCAGACUCCUACGGGAGGCAGCAGUGGGGAAUAUUGGACAAUGGGCGCAAGCCUGAUCCAGCCAUACCGCGUGGGUGAAGAAGGCCUUCGGGUUGUAAAGCCCUUUUGUUGGGAAAGAAAAGCAGCCAGUUAAUACCUGGUUGUUCUGACGGUACCCAAAGAAUAAGCACCGGCUAACUUCGUGCCAGCCGCCGCCGUAAAAC
rnacentral:rRNA from 1 species